GCCACCGUAGCACAAUGGUUAGUGUGUUGCUUUCCUAUGAGUUGGGUUACUUGUAACUCAGCGAAAGGUUAGGCAGAGGCUGUGGGUUCGAGUCCCAUCGGUGGUU